rnacentral:rRNA from 1 species
GUAGGGCGGGACACGUGGUAUCCUGUCUGAAUAUGGGGGGACCAUCCUCCAAGGCUAAAUACUCCUGACUGACCGAUAGUGAACCAGUACCGUGAGGGAAAGGCGAAAAGAACCCCGGCGAGGGGAGUGAAAAAGAACCUGAAACCGUGUACGUACAAGCAGUGGGAGCACAGAGCAAUCUGUGUGACUGCGUACCUUUUGUAUAAUGGGUCAGCGACUUAUAUUCUGUAGCAAGGUUAACCGAAUAGGGGAGCCGAAGGGAAACCGAGUCUUAACUGGGCGUUAAGUUGCAGGGUAUAGACCCGAAACCCGGUGAUCUAGCCAUGGGCAGGUUGAAGGUUGGGUAACACUAACUGGAGGACCGAACCGACUAAUGUUGAAAAAUUAGCGGAUGACUUGUGGCUGGGGGUGAAAGGCCAAUCAAACCGGGAGAUAGCUGGUUCUCCCCGAAAGCUAUUUAGGUAGCGCCUCGUGAAUUCAUCUCCGGGGGUAGAGCACUGUUUCGGCAAGGGGGUCAUCCCGACUUACCAACCCGAUGCAAACUGCGAAUACCGGAGAAUGUUAUCACGGGAGACACACGGCGGGUGCUAACG